rnacentral:rRNA from 1 species
UACGUAGGGGGCAAGCGUUGUCCGGAAUUAUUGGGCGUAAAGAGCUCGUAGGCGGUUUGUCGCGUCUGCUGUGAAAACUGGAGGCUCAACCUCCAGCCUGCAGUGGGUACGGGCAGACUAGAGUGCGGUAGGGGAGAUUGGAAUUCCUGGUGUAGCGGUGGAAUGCGCAGAUAUCAGGAGGAACACCGAUGGCGAAGGCAGAUCUCUGGGCCGUAACUGACGCUGAGGAGCGAAAGCGUGGGGAGCAAACAGG